rnacentral:rRNA from 1 species
GAUAAACGCUAGCGGUGUGCAUUAUGCAUGCAAGUCGAACGGUCUAUCGAAAGAUAGACAGUGGCAAACGGCUGAGUAACACGUAAGCAAUCUGUCCCAAAGUGGGGAAUAAUCCGCCGAAAGGUGGACUAAUACCGCAUGUGGUAGUGGGGGUAGGUUCUCACUACUAAAGCUUUCGGGCGCUUAGGGAGGAGCUUGCGUCCUAUCAGGUAGUUGGUGGGGUAACGGCUCACCAAGCCGACGACGGGUAGCUGGUCUGAGAGGAUGUCCAGCCAGACGGGGACUGAGACACGGCCCGACUCCUACGGGAGGCCAG